rnacentral:lncRNA from 1 species
CCCAUGCAGGUGGAGGUCCGUGGCGCCCCCCAGGCGGCUGGGACGGCCACGACAGCUGCGGCAGGCAGCCCUGCUCCGGCUGCAGCCGGGGUCGCCGACCUGGGUGGCAACACCUUGGGUCGGGUGAGGCCCGCGGCUGCCAUGGCGACUGCAGCGGACAUCGUUGACCACGUGGGGGACGUGCAGAUGCAGGAGGCGGCGGGUUUGGGUGAUGUGGCGGCUGCAGCUGGUGGCGCCAGCGGGCCACACAGCGGGGCCCCGCCCCCGCUGCCAGUUCUGGUGGCGGGGGGAAGCAACCGUGCUGCUGCGGCUGCCCUGCGGGCCGCGCUGCAGCAGCAGCCCUCUUCGCAGCAGCGGGUGACAGCGGGAGGGUUUAGCGGGGUCCAGCCGGCGGCAGGCGUGGGGGGGCUGCCGGCGGCCAGGCCUCGCCCUGCCGGUGCUGGGCCGGCUGACGCGCAGCAGCAGCACAGUGGCGCUCACGCGCCACGGCCGCCCUUGGAUCAGCGGGCCGCCGCCGGGCAGGAUCAGGAGCAGACCGCUGUGAUGCAGCGGUACUUGGCCGAUUUGGCGGAACUCAAUCUCCAGCAGCAACGGCGGUUACAGCAACAGCAGCAGCAGGAGCUGCAGCGCCAGGGGCAGUCGCCCAGGGCCCGGACCGGCUCCCAGGUUGGGGUCCUGGCCACGCGGGGGGGGCAGGACGGGGCGGGCGGUGGCGCUAGCACGGCGGCGUCACGGCGUGGGCAACGUGUUGACAUAGUUGACCACGUGGGGGACGUGCAGAUGCAGGAGGCGGCGGGUUUGGGUGACGCAGCGGCUGCCGCUGGUGGCGCCAGCGGACCACCCGCCAUGGCCUCGCCCUCGCUGCCUGCUCUGGUGGCGGGGGGAAGCACCCGUGCUGCUGCAGCUCCCCUGAGGGCCGAGCGGCAGCAGCAGCCCUCUCCACAGCAGCGGGUGGCAGCGGGAGGGCUUAGCGGGGGGCAGCCGUCGGCAGGUGUGGGGGGGCCGCUGGCGGCCAGGCGUCACACUGCCGAUGCCGGGCCGGCUGGCGCGCAGCAGCAGCCAAGUAAGGCUCCCACGCCGCAGCCGCCCUUUGAUCAGCGGGCAGCUGCUAGGCAGGAGCAGCCUGCCCGCCCUGGAUGCAGUUGUGGAUGAGCUGCAGACCGCGUUCAUCACCGGCCGCUGGAUUGGAGACAACGCGCUGUACCUCCAAGGCCUGAUCGAAUGGAUGCGCCUGGACGUGGGCGCGGACGGCGCGCCACGGCAGGGUGGUGCGCUGUACUUCUUGGACAUUGAAAAGGCGUAUGACCGGGUGCACCGGCAGUGGCUGUAUGCGUCCGCGGAGGGACUUGGGUUUGGGCCGCGCAUGCUGCGCUGGAUCCGCCUGCUCACUGCCAACGGCUCUGCCCGCGUGUGUGUGAACGGGAUGCUCUCUGACGCCUUCCCAGUGCUGAACGGCUUGCCGCAGGGCAGCACCGCCUCACCACCCCUGUGGGUCAUCCAGAUGCAGCCACUGACGUCCUUUCUGCGGCGGCAGGUGGAGCAAGGGGCACUGCGCACGCCCCUGUUACCCAGCGGCGAGCAGGCGCCACCUGCUGCCCACCACGCUGACGACACGACCCUCACGGCGCGCGACCCGGCGGUGGACGGGCCGGUCCUGAUGGCGGCAGUACAGCUGUUCUGCCGCGCGUCCAAUGCCCGUGUCCAUCCGGACAAGAGCAAGGCCAUGGGCCUUGGCAGGUUUGCGCACCUGACGGGCCCUUGCCCACACACGGGGGUGCCGUUUACCACUGGCGCCGUGACGCACCUGGGUGUGCCCCUGUCGUGGGACUCUGAUGCGGCUGCAGCUGACUUGUACACCCGGCGGGCUCGCGGCAUGGCGUUUGUGGCGCGUCUGUGGGCUGCCCUGUCUCUGACCCUCGUUGGCCGUGUGCACAUUGCGAAGCAGGUGCUGGCGGCGAAGCUGGCCUACCACUUCAGCUUCCUCAACCCGUCGCCUGCGCAGCUGAAGGAACUCACCGACCUGGUGGACCACUUUGCUGCGCGCUCCAUGCACGCUGAGGACGCCAGCCUGGUGUCGCACGGGAACCCGCUCCUGCUGCCAAAGCGGGAAACGGCCUGUCUGCCGUACAAGGAUGGGGGUGUCAACCACGUCGACCUGCCUGCGUUCCUGUCUGCCCUGCAAGCUAAGACUUUCGCCCUCCUUGCCCAGCCAGGCCGGCAACCCUGGAAGACGCUCACCCGGGCGCUGCUUACCCAUGUGCGCCCGGACUCCGCCACCACGUGGGCGUGGGUGUACAGCGACGCGCCGGCGCCAGCGGGGCUGCCUGCCCGGCUGGCGGCCGCGGUCGGCCACGUGCGGAGCGCGGGCGUGGAACAGCAUCCGCCGCAGCCAGCCACUCAGCCGCCAGCGGCGCCGCCACAGUGGCGGGUUAGCCUGGACCAGCUGUGGGUGGCUAACGCUGCGGGGGCUGUGUCCUACGUCCACUACACGGGGCGGCUCUUGGAGCCUGGGCCUGGCGUGCUGCCCCCGGCGGUGGAUGGGGCGUGGCAGCCUGCCUGUGUGCUGCAGCAUCGCAAGCCGCGGCACCUGUGGACCUUUGAAGAGCGGGCGGCGUACGAUGCAGCAUCACCAGGGGAACGGGCGGGGGCGUGGCCUCGGGCGCCGUACUUCCUGGCGCCGGAGGCUGGGGUGGUGGUACACCCGGAGCACUGCCGGAUUGCGGGUGUCAGCUUGGCGGACUACACGGUGCGGGACGUGCGGCGGGCCAUCACCGCGGCUAACCCGGCCGCACCUCCGGCUCCGGCCCGCCCCGCAGCCAUGCCUUGCCCGGCGCCAGCUCAGCAGGCGGGGGGGUCGGGGACCCAGCCGGCGGCACAGUCGCGGCUGGCGGAGCGGGAGGCGGAGUGGCAGCGUGCAGCGGCGCAGCUGACCACCACGGCGGCGCAGCACUUCCACAAUAACCCGGUGGCUCUGGACCCCUGGCUCCACCGCACCUCCGCGGCAGCCGGGCUGCAGAACACGCCGGCGAGAGAACUGCAGUCGUAUGCGUCCCCGUCCCAGCAGUCGGGUGAGGGGCCGCGGCGGUCCGCGCGGCUGCAGGAGCAGGCGGCGGGCGGGGCGGGACCUAGCACUGGGCCUGCCACGGCGGCGGCGGCAGCAGCGGCGGCGGUGGAGGGCGACCCUCGCAUGCCGCCCCCGGAUGCGUCCCUUCUGCGGGGUACGUGGCGGAGGCUGUGGGACAGCCACGCCAGUCGGGGGGCAAAGGUGCUGGUGUACCGGCUGCAACAUGCUUACCUGCCUUGCGGGCUGUACAGGGCGGGCAAGGGCAUUCGGCCACGGGUGACCACGGGGUGCGGGGGGUUGGGGGCGCACUGUCCUCACCCCGCCUGCGGGCCACCUGGCCCGCGGGCGUGGGCCAGCCUAACGCACAUCUUCCUGGAGUGUCCAGCUUAUGCGCAGGCGAGGACGUGGCUGCAGCAGCUGUGGGCCUGCGUUGCGCCCCAGGCAGCGGCGCCGCCAGUGACGGACGCGGGCUUCAUGCUGGGGGACCGCAUGGGUAUGUGGGCCUCAGGCCCGCGGGGGGCGGGCGCGCUGCUGUGGAGCACUUUGCGGGCCACCUUCUUGUACGCUGUCUGGUGUGCGUACUGGUCCCGCGAGCCUGCUAAGCAGACGUCAGAGCAUGUGAGAGCACUUUACUUUACUUUACUUUACUUUACUUUACUUUACUUUACUUUACUUUACUUUACUUUACUUUUCUCUCUUCUCUUGCUUUUCUUGCAUCCUCCUCAGGCCCGCGGGGGGCGGGCGCGCUGCUGUGGAGCACUUUGCGGGCCACCUUCUUGUACGCUGUCUGGUGUGCGUACUGGUCCCGCGAGCCUGCUAAGCAGACGUCAGAGCAUGUGAGAGCACUUUACUUUACUUUACUUUACUUUACUUUACUUUACUUUACUUUACUUUACUUUACUUUACUUUACUUUUCUCUCUUCUCUUGCUUUUCUUGCAUCCUCCUUUCCUUCUGCACAGCUUUGAAGCAGUCGAUGUCAUUUCUCUCGUGCUGUUUGACUUGCUUCCUUUUGUUUUAGGCUUCUUAAGGCCUACGAACCACUGUGAAGCAGUCUGCAUUUGUGGGCUUGCUCGUUUUUCGUCAGUCCACUUUGCAGCUGUAGCGCGACACUCCCUCUCCAGCGCCUUUCAGCCUAUGCCGGCUUGUGCUUUGGAACUCGACAUCGCUAUGGAAUAGGAUUCUGGCGGUUCAGGAGCGUCGCCGUGGAGUUGGCGACAUUUUGCUUGUCGGCAUUUUAACAUCUCGGCGAGCACCACACUUCACCAGCUUGGAGCAGGCGGCGUAUCAACCUUUGUGGUUGGUCAUUUGCAUCCGCGCGUGCAGCAGGGUGCCUUGGGUGUGGCGGUCGGGGGAGCCCUGCAGCACUUGGCUGUUUUUUCGGGGUGUGGCUCGUCUUCGUGCCCUUGUUGCCUGGCGCCUGGUUGCCUGGCGCCCGCCCUGCUGUGAUGCCCUGUGAGUGCUGAUCUUGGGCAGCUAUGCAGUUGCUGGGUGAUCCUGGUCGGUUCCGCCUGGUGUCUCAGCGCAGCCAAGACACCAGGGGCCAACACCAGCCAUACAGCACACCCGCACACGGCGCGGCCACAGCAGCACACGCCGUGCCGUGUGGGGGGCCUGCGUUUGGGCGUCGCCGCCCACUGCCGGACUUGGCAGCGGACAGCACCCCUGCAGGUGGGGGCAACACUGCCAGCCCGUUCUUCAGCCCCGGGCUGCAGCUCCACCUUGCCCUGUCCACGCAUAGCCUGGCGCACGGCGUGCAGGACCUGACGACGCAGCCUCAGGGCCCCAGCCUGCCUACCUACCCAGUCCUUCUGGUGGGUGCCACCACGGGGCUCCCAGAGGGCGAGCAGCUGUCCUCAGCUGGCGUCCGGGAAGUGACCAGUGCUGCCCUGUCAGUGCUGGACACCAUGUGCAGGCAGGGCAACCAGCCGCAGCUCUUGCAGGGCCACUCUCUGCACAGCACAGGCCGCCCCUCCCGCACGUUUGCGGGGCUGGCCUUCAGCCGGCGCGCGACCAGCGCCAGCAAAGCAGCCUUCACAGCGGAGCUCAUGCGCAAGUCACCGCUGGCGGUACCGCUCCAGCGCGGUCAGGCUGUCCUCACGGUUCACGUGCCAGUGGACACCCGGCCCAUCAUUCCGGGCACCUACACCGUCACGGUCAAGAUGGUAGGGGGCCCUGUGUGGGGGGCUUUCCGCGGUCGCACCGAUUUGGUGCUGCAGGCGGGUGGCUAUCCCACCACCUCGGACCCCUCUAACCUGGCGUGUGCUUAUGUGGUCUCAGAGCAGUGCGCCAAAUCGGUGGGCCCCAAGGGGGAGCCCCAGGCCCCCGCAGGCCAGGGCAUCACCAACCACAUCUUUGCCUGUGUGCGGGGCCCAGUCUGGGACCCGCAGCUCUCUCACCUGCACUGUGCCAAGUUUGAGAUGCCCGGUGAGGAGCCCAUGCAGGUGGAGGUCCGUGGCGCCCCCCAGGCGGCUGGGGCGGCCACGACAGCUGCGGCAGGCAGCCCUGCUCCGGCUGCAGCUGGGGUCGCCGACCUGGGUGGCAACACCUUGGGUGUGGCGAGGCCCGCGGCUGCCAUGGCGACCGCAGCGGACAUUGUUGACCACGUGGGGGACGUGCAGAUGCAGGAGGCGGUGGGUUUG